rnacentral:rRNA from 1 species
UACGUAGGGUGCGAGCGUUGUCCGGAAUUAUUGGGCGUAAAGGGCUCGUAGGCGGUUUGUCGCGUCAGGAGUGAAAACUCGGGGCUUAACCCCGAGCCUGCUUCUGAUACGGGCAGACUAGAGGUAUGCAGGGGAGAACGGAAUUCCUGGUGUAGCGGUGAAAUGCGCAGAUAUCAGGAGGAACACCGGUGGCGAAGGCGGGUCUCUGGGCCGAUACUGACGCUGAGACGCGAAAGCGUGGGGAGCGAACAGG